rnacentral:rRNA from 1 species
UACGUAGGUGGCAAGCGUUUGUCCGGAAUUAUUGGGCGUAAAGCGCGCGUAGGCGGCCCGGUAAGUCCGUUGUGAAAGUCAAAGGCUCAACCUUUGAACGCCGAUGGAUACUGCCGGGCUAGAGUCCGGAAGAGGCGAGUGGAAUUCCUGGUGUAGCGGUGGAAUGCGCAGAUAUCAGGAGGAACACCAAUAGCGAAGGCAGCUCGCUGGGACGGUACUGACGCUGAGGCGCGAAAGCGUGGGGGAGCGAACAGG